AGAGUUUCGAUCCAGGCUCAGAUUGAACGCUGGCGGCAUGCCUUACACAUGCAAGUCGAACGGCAGCACGGGAGCAAUCCUGGUGGCGAGUGGCGAACGGGUGAGUAAUAUAUCGGAACGUGCCCAGUCGUGGGGGAUAACGCAGCGAAAGCUGUGCUAAUACCGCAUACGAUCUCUGGAUGAAAGCGGGGGACUCGCAAGAGCCUCGCGCGAUUGGAGCGGCCGAUAUCAGAUUAGCUAGUUGGUGGAGGCCCACCAAGGCGACGAUCUGUAGCUGGUCUGAGAGGACGACCAGCCACACUGGAACUGAGACACGGUCCAGACUCCUACGGGAGGCAGCAGUGGGGAAUUUUGGACAAUGGGCGCAAGCCUGAUCCAGCAAUGCCGCGUGCAGGAUGAAGGCCUUCGGGUUGUAAACUGCUUUUGUACGGAACGAAACGGUCUGCCCUAAUACGGUGGGCUAAUGACGGUACCGUAAGAAUAAGCACCGGCUAACUACGUGCCAGCAGCCGCGGUAAUACGUAGGGUGCGAGCGUUAAUCGGAAUUACUGGGCGUAAAGCGUGCGCAGGCGGUUAUGUAAGACAGAUGUGAAAUCCCCGGGCUCAACCUGGGACCUGCAUUUGUGACUGCAUAGCUAGAGUACGGUAGAGGGGGAUGGAAUUCCGCGUGUAGCAGUGAAAUGCGUAGAUAUCGUAAGGAAGACCAGUGGCGAAGGCGGGUCUCUGGACAGUUCCUGACACUGAGGCACGAAGGCCAGGGGAGCAAACGUGAAUUAGAUACCCCGGUAG
rnacentral:rRNA from 1 species